rnacentral:rRNA from 1 species
GACGAACGCUGGCGGCGUGCCUAAUACAUGCAAGUAGAACGCUGAAGAGAGGAGCUUGCUCUUCUUGGAUGAGUUGCGAACGGGUGAGUAACGCGUAGGUAACCUGCCUGGUAGCGGGGGAUAACUAUUGGAAACGAUAGCUAAUACCGCAUAAAAUUGAUUAUUGCAUGAUAAUUAAUUGAAAGAUGCAACUGCAUCACUACCAGAUGGACCUGCGCUGUAUUAGCUGGUUGGUGAGGUAACGGCUCACCAAGGCGACGAUACAUAGCCGACCUGAGAGGGUGAUCGGCCACACUGGGACUGAGACACGGCCCAGACUCCUACGGGAGGCGGCAGUAGGGAAUCUUCGGCAAUGGGGGGAACCCUGACCGAGCAACGCCGCGUGAGUGAAGAAGGUUUUCGGAUCGUAAAGCUCUGUUGUAAGAGAAGAACGGGUGUGAGAGUGGAAAGUUCACACUGUGACGGUAUCUUACCAGAAAGGGACGGCUAACUACGUG